AAAGUUUUAGUAUAAUUUUAGUAUAAUUUAUUGUCAAUAAAUAGGUUUAAACUUUAU
rnacentral:tRNA from 1 species